rnacentral:rRNA from 1 species
GUGAAUCAUCGAAUCUUUGAACGCACCUUGCACCCUUUGGUAUUCCGAAGGGUAUACCUAUUUCAGUAUCAAUAAGACAACCUCAAAGAACCUUUGGUUUUUUGGACGUGAACUUUGACGCGGCCGAGAUAUUUCAAGGCCGGGCUAGUUUAAAAUGAAGGUUUGCGGGAAUCGGAUUACGAAGCCAGAAAAGACGUCAUAGUUGACUUGGGAUACUCUCCUGAGGCAUCUUUCGCUGAAUUUUUAGGGAAUCGUGCCUGGCCGGAACAUUCGCAGGAAUAGCCAGAGGUAGGAGUGAAGCAGGAAAAGGAGUAAGGGAGACUUCGCUCCUCUCCCGUUAAGCUUCUGCCUCUCCUUAUCUUUGAUCUGAAAUUAGGUAGGAUUACCCGCUGAACUUAAGCAUAUCAAUAAGCGGAGG